rnacentral:rRNA from 1 species
UAGCGAAGGGGGCUAGCGUUGUUCGGAAUACUGGGCGUAAAGCGCACGUAGGCGGACUAUUAAGUCAGGGGUGAAAUCCCGGGGCCUCAACCCCGGAACUGCCUUUGAUACUGGUAGUCUCGAGUCCGGAAGAGGUGAGUGGAAUUCCGAGUGUAGAGGUGAAAUUCGUAGAUAUUCGGAGGAACACCAGUGGCGAAGGCGGCUCACUGGUCCGGUACUGACGCUGAGGUGCGAAAGCGUGGGGAGCAAACAGG